rnacentral:misc_RNA from 1 species
CUAAAAAGCCUAAUAAAACUCCUCACCAUCUUGUAUCCAUCGUCCUCUCAGUGACACUUCUCUAACAAACCACUUACUUAGCUUCUCACAAACCCCAAAACCAACCCCUUUUGUCCUUGUCUUGAACCGUUUCUAUCAUCUUUGAAAAUAAACUCCUAAGAUCCCUUGUCCCUCUUCUAGUCUUCCACCUCUCUUUCAUUUCUUGCUUUAAAGAAGAUGUCUACCGCCGGAAUCUUUACAGCUCCGGCCGUUACUGGGUCUGGUUGCCAAGGCCUCAAAGCCAACUCAACAAGACAGUUGUUCCCUGCAAAGGAUUCUAUUGCAUGGAGUCGCAAAACUGUCUCCAAUGG